GUCACGGAUGUGGAGAAGAGGAGAAAUCCUGUCUGCAGCUUCGUGACACUGCUGGAGGCCGGGAACAGGCAGGAGCACUGUGGUCUGGAGGCACCUGGGUGGUCAGCGACUCGCGGUCACGGCUCCUCUUUCAUCUUCUCCAGGCACGGAAAACGGAAGGACAAACCAACAGCCUUGCCCUCUCAGGUACCAGCGCCGUGUCUACACCCGUGCUUUCUGUCCGAAGGGCUCCCCUCUCCCAGUUUAACCAGUCUCAUCAGUGUUACUGGGAGUCCUGCCAGCACUGGCUUCUGGAUCUCACCAGCUCCCCCUCGCCCUGCUGUGGGUCAUCCCCUGUCCCUUCUCACGUCCCCUCUGUCACGCUUGCUGUGGGGCAGAGCUCUGCUACUCCCCUGUGCUUCCACAACCAUGGCUCACCUUUUAGCGGCGGGGGACACCCCAACCUGGGGACCCCGUUGUUCUCUCUCUGUCCCUUUGGUAAGGAUCAGUCCCCUCUGCUGGCAUGGGGGUGGGGGGGGCAGCAGGCACAGGGUGGGCACCAGGCUCUGCGUGCUGGUUUUCUGAGCCAGAAACCGGGCCUUGCCACAGUCCCUGAUGCUCUCUGUCUGUCUGUCUGUCUGUGCCCACUGGAUAGUGCCAGCCCCAGCCACCAGCUCCUGACCCGUUAACACGUUAACACCUGCCCCCCCCUCCCCCCCCCAGUUUCUUCACAGCCGGCCACCCUCUGCCUGUGCUACUGGUCAGUACUGGGAUGGGACCCUCAGGCAGGGGGUGAGGCUGUGCACCCUCACCCCCUCCCCACAUGUCCCCGGCCCCCCCAGCCAGGGUGUCAGCCUGAAAAGAGCUGCUGGGGGGCCAAGGAGGUGCCGCUGCUCGCCCUCCCCCUGGACCUGGAACCCCCGGUGCCGUGGGGGGGGGACACACAGACCUUCCUCUGCCCCUCUUCCCCACCUCCCCCACUGUGGGUGAGCCCCCUGCCCACCUCCCACCCCAGCUCCCUCUCGUGUUUUUCAUCAUUGCGGCCCGGUCCCGGUGCCCCCACCCAAAGGGGCCACCCACUGAAAGGGGCACCCCCCAUAAUGAAGGGGGGAGCUAGGGGCAGCCAUGCUGCCUGUCUGCCCCAGAGCAAGGGGAUCUGUGGGGCAGAGGGAUACUGUGGAGGAUCUUGGUGGAGGGGGCAGGACAGGACAUUGCAGGGUGGCACAGACCUCAGGUGCUCCCAGGGCUGGUAAUAAACUAUGUGACCAGA